rnacentral:rRNA from 1 species
GCGUAAAGCGCACGCAGGCGGUUGGAUAAGUUAGAUGUGAAAGCCCCGGGCUCAACCUGGGAAUUGCAUUUAAAACUGUCCAGCUAGAGUCUUGUAGAGGGGGGUAGAAUUCCAGGUGUAGCGGUGAAAUGCGUAGAGAUCUGGAGGAAUACCGGUGGCGAAGGCGGCCCCCUGGACAAAGACUGACGCUCAGGUGCGAAAGCGUGGGGAGCAAACAGGAUUAGAUACCCUGGUAGUCCACGCCGUAAACGAUGUCGAUUUGGAGGCUGUGUCCUUGAGACGUGGCUUCCGGAGCUAACGCGUUAAAUCGACCGCCUGGGGAGUACGGCCGCAAGGUUAAAACUCAAAUGAAUUGACGGGGGCCCGCACAAGCGGUGGAGCAUGUGGUUUAAUU